AAGAAGAAAACCAAACCAAGGAAACGGACCCUCACCUUUACACACACACACACACACACACACACACGCAAGUCACGCCCAGCUGCAGACGUGAGUGGGGUCCAUGUGUCUUUUUGCGAGCCUUUGAUAUGAGGAUGCAUUUUGGACCGACGUGCGGCGACCCAGGAGGUACUGACACGGGGAGACACACCCGACACACACCUGACGCCCGUGAGCCCUAGACGUUAGUGUGGACAGUGAGUGGAAGGAGUGGAGGGUUUGGGUGUGGUGUUCCUGGUGGGUUUGGGGCGUUCUGAACCACCACCACUAUCACCUCCACCUCCACUACCUAAACUACAUUCUGACGCCAUAUACUCCACUGCCUCCACCUCCUCCACCAUCAUCAACAAUAAGGACACUUACAACAUCCACAGCAACAUCUUCGCAAGCCUUCCAUAGCCUGCAACGUCGGAGUGUUAUCACCGUCAUCAUUAUCAUCAAAAGACAGCAACACCAUCACCAUAAAGGGUCAACACUGGUGGUAAUAAUAAUAAUAAUAAGAAGAAGAAGAAGGAGAGUGUAACGAUAAAUAUCUUUUCGUGUUUCGUAUCGAGAGAGAGAGAGAGAGAGAGAGAGAGAGAGAGAGAGAGAGAGAGAGAGAGAGAGAGAGAGAGAGAGAGAGAGAGAGAGAGAGAGAGAGAGAGAGAGAGAGAGAGAGAGAGAGAGAGAGGCACCAGACUAGGAUCUUCUCGACUCUCCUGAAGAAUGACUUUGUUCUGAUUUCACUCAAGCAGGAAAAAAUAAAAUAAAAACAAAAGUGAAAGAAGA